AUGUGGACUCACAGCCCCGAGAGGCACUUCGGGAUGGUGCUCUGGGCAGGCCUACCCCCUUCGCCCAACCCCAUCCCCUCGUGGAGAAGUUUGCGUUUCUUGCUGACCAACGGGGUCCUCAUCAUCCCUCUAAGGACCGUCUGCAACCACAGGGCUGUCAGCACCCCUGGCAGCGCCAAGGGAAGGACAGUCCAGAGGCCUUUGAGGCAGAACUGGGCCAGAUCCCGACCUCCUGGCAUCAAGGCCAAGGAGCUCAGCCGGGUCAACUUUGCAUUUCAUCAUCUAUUUUUGUCUUAUUUCCGACCGUCUACACCUAAUGCCUGGUGGUCCGGAGCCCUUCACAGGUGGACUCAGGAUUCAGCGCCCCCCCAACACACACCUGACAGAACCAACCUGCCCCUCGGGGUCCUGGCUGCUGCAUUGUCGAGAACUCGGUCUGCAGGUGGCGGUCGGGGCUUUCCACACCUGCCUGCUUGCCAUGAGCUCACUCGACACGUCCCCUUCCCCAUCCCCUCCCCAUCACACCUGUCUGUCCACAGAGCAGGUGCCCACAUACCAUCCUCUGCCUGUCACACCUGUCUGUCCACAGAGCGGGUGCCCACAUACCAUCCUCUGGAUGCUGGGCAUGCAGGGGCUGAUCUGGGCUGUGGACGACAGCUGCCCCUCCCACACUCACCUGGCCUGGGCCCCUGCCAGGGCUGUGUCUUCAGCAGCUGUGGGGUGUGGGGGUGUGGACACAGUGCCAGCGAGAGGCCAUCGCUCAGCUGGGCUGGAACGAAGACACCCAGGACACAGGGGAGCGUCCAGGCUUUCACCACCAGCAAAGCCACCACGAAAGCCCCAAGCCCCUGGAGUUCAAAGGUUUCUCCAUGCAGCACGCACGUGGGUGCCACUCGUGGAUGGAGGUCGGGCGUGCACAACCGCGCCAGCCAAGCUGUGUGCUCCCGCGGGUGGCACCAGCACCCACGCCUCCAGAGGGCAGCCCGCCCCCGGCACCCCCGCACUGGCUGGUCUCGUCAACCGAGUGGUGGCAGGGCCGUCUCUCGCUUUUCCUUCAGUUCUGUUAUCACUAUUAUAAAUGCACAUACUGAGACCAUGGAACAGAUCUGAGUCUUGCGCAGGAAAGCCGCGUCCCUCCCAGGGUGCCUCCCCGCGGCCCCGCUGUCCUGUGUGAUCAGGCUCAGUCCAUGGAGCUGACUCGGGCCCCCACGUCUCCCAGGACACUCAGGUGCUUCCGCUCUGGAUGUCCUGUUUCAGGCCCAGGGGUGCCCUGUCCACGCUCGGUCUCCUGGCCCACGGUGAACCCUGCCCACAGUCAGCAUUGACUCCACAGGGAUCACAGG